GAGUUUGAUCAUGGCUCAGAUUGAACGCUGGCGGCAGGCCUAACACAUGCAAGUCGAGCGGAUGACGGGAGCUUGCUCCUUGAUUCAGCGGCGGACGGGUGAGUAAUGCCUAGGAAUCUGCCUGGUAGUGGGGGACAACGUUUCGAAAGGAACGCUAAUACCGCAUACGUCCUACGGGAGAAAGCAGGGAACCUUCGGGCCUUGCGCUAUCAGAUGAGCCUAGGUCGGAUUAGCUAGUUGGUGGGGUAAUGGCUCACCAAGGCGACGAUCCGUAACUGGUCUGAGAGGAUGAUCAGUCACACUGGAACUGAGACACGGUCCAGACUCUACGGAGGCAGCAGUGGGGAAUAUUGGACAAUGGGCGAAAGCCUGAUCCAGCCAUGCCGCGUGUGUGAAGAAGGUCUUCGGAUUGUAAAGCACUUUAAGUUGGGAGGAAGGGCAGUAAGUUAAUACCUUGCUGUUUUGACGUUACGACAGAAUAAGCACCGGCUAAACUCUGUGCCAGC
rnacentral:rRNA from 1 species